UUGAGUCAGCAAAGCGAACAUGGCGGCUCUAUUUUGGUCCUUCGAUGUCGGCUC
rnacentral:rRNA from 11 species